UCUCUGGUGGCUCAGAUGGUAAAGCGCCUGUCUGCAACGCAAGAGACUCAGGUUUGAUCCCUGGAUUGGGAA
rnacentral:tRNA from 1 species